AUUGAACGCUGGCGGCAUGCCUUACACAUGCAAGUCGAACGGCAGCGGGGGAGAAGCUUGCUUUUCCUGCCGGCGAGUGGCGAACGGGUGAGUAAUACAUCGGAACGUGCCCUGUAGUGGGGGAUAACUAGUCGAAAGAUUAGCUAAUACCGCAUACGACCUGAGGGUGAAAGUGGGGGACCGCAAGGCCUCAUGCUAUAGGAGCGGCCGAUGUCUGAUUAGCUAGUUGGUGGGGUAAAGGCCUACCAAGGCGACGAUCAGUAGCUGGUCUGAGAGGACGAUCAGCCACACUGGGACUGAGACACGGCCCAGACUCCUACGGGAGGCAGCAGUGGGGAAUUUUGGACAAUGGGCGCAAGCCUGAUCCAGCCAUACCGCGUGAGUGAAGAAGGCCUUCGGGUUGUAAAGCUCUUUCAGCCGGAAAGAAAUCGCACUGGUUAAUACCUUGUGUGGAUGACGGUACCGGAAGAAGAAGCACCGGCUAACUACGUGCCAGCAGCCGCCGUAA
rnacentral:rRNA from 1 species